rnacentral:rRNA from 1 species
CCCGGAGAGUCAACCUUCCGCCCCAGAUUCAUCUAUCCCUGCUCUACCCAUCAAAAGAAAGAAAAAAAUCUAUCCCUGUUCUGUUGUGUACUGCACGGGCGUAUCGUAUCCCCAGCAUCUUCGAUUCGAUUCAGGCUCUGCCCAGCGCUGCAGAUUCAGCUGGACACAUCCACUUUGAUCCUGCUGAACAGAUGCUCCCAAUUUUUAUCCCAACUCUGGAGGAGCAGAGAGGGCCAUCAUCUCAGCUGUUUGCAAGACUGGCUCACAUAAGAGGGGGGUGAUAUCUUUAUAGGAGUAAGAAAAAUGGGCAUCGAAACCAGUAAACACGCCAAUGCUUUCCUGCCAAACACUAUGGAUUUCGGUGAACUGGAGAACAUGCUGCAAGCGCCAAGUGUCACACCAAUUUGCCUGCCGGUAGAGUUUCUGAAAGGCAUCACACGCGAUUUUUCUGUCGACCAAGAACUGGGAAGAGGUGGGUUUGGUGUGGUUUACAAGGGAAUACUUCAAAAUGGGAAAAUGAUUGCUGUGAAGAAGCUUUUUGAAAUUCGAGUAGAAGAUGAUCAAUUCCAGAAUGAGGUCACCUAUCUUAUUGGGGUUAAGCACCAAAACGUGGUACAGCUUGUAGGCUACUGCGCUGAAUCACGGUGGGAAGCGACAAAAGUAGGUGGGAGAUAUGUCAUGGCUGAGAUACGGAAGAGAUUGCUCUGCUUUGAGUAUCUAAAAAACAACAGCCUUGAUAAGCAUCUUUCUGCUGAAUCUUGUGGACUUGAGUGGCACAUAAGAUAUGAUAUAAUUAAGGGGGUUUGCAGCGGCUUGCAUUACCUUCACACGGAAUGCCGGAUUGUUCAUUUGGACCUUAAACCCCAAAAUAUAUUGCUGGAUGAUAAUAUGGUCCCCAAGCUUGCAGAUUUUGGCAUGUCUAGGCUCUUUGGCCAACAAGAGUCUCGAGUUAUCACUGAAAGUCGUGGGGGUACACUUGGAUACAUGGCACCAGAGUACAUAACAAAUGGAGUAAUCUCAACCAAGUCGGAUAUAUACAGUUUGGGCAUUAUAAUCGUUGAGCUAAUGACGGGAAGCAGGGAAUAUCCCCAUAGUAGUGAAGCACCGUUUGAGCACUUCAUUGAGAAUAUGGUUGGAAAUUGGAGGCACAUAUUGGAAAAAACAAUGGGGCAUAAAACGCAGGAAAUAUGUUCCCAACAAGUAAACAGAUGCAUUGCAUUGGGACUUAAGUGUCUUAAUCCAGAUCCCAAUGAAAGGCCCUCUGCAUGGGAUAUGUUGCAAACUCUGAAUGAAUUGGAAAGCACGAAUGGUUGUUUUGACAAGAAUGAUGGACCAGCAGUAGUAACUUACGAAUCAGAAGUAGACACAAUUUUAGGGCGGGGCGAUGUAGAUUCCAGCAAUUUAGCCGCAAAAUUCGACAGAAUAUUGAGUAGAGCAUUCGCCCCAGGUUCUGGAAACAUGAGCACUGUUUUCCGCUCUGCUCCCAAAGGAAGAAGGAUAUUGAUCCAAGCUUUUGAGGUUGCCAACACAAUUGUCAUGGCCUCUAAUCUGAUAAAAUCCCUCUCUAAACAAAGAAUAAGGCACCUGAAAGAGGGUGUGCUUAGGUCGGAAGGUGUUCGCUGUCUUAUUUCGGAAGAUUACAGUCAGCUGUCCAUUCUCAUUGAAGAUGAAAUACGAGAAGAGUUGAGACGAUUUUGUAAAGAGGUUGCCCGGUUUGGAGAUCUGUGUGAAGAUCCUCAAUGGCACAAUCUCGAUAGGUAUUUCCGCAGAUGGUUCUGCACUGACAGUGACAUCUAAGAACAACUCCAGUGAAGAAGCACCUCCCAGUUUGCAGUAUCUGAUAAAAUUGGCACAAAAUACAUGGGUUCUGCGCCAAGAAAUGCUAGCACUGGACAGACUUGAGCACGCUCAUUAUGUAGCAGCUAGUCCUGUUAAGAAACAAAUUGAUGCUGUCAAGAGCCAAAGGGGUGCGGUGAAGGUCUUAAAAAGGAAAUCACUCUGGUCGAAGAGUAUGGAAGAUAUUGUAGAGAGACUUGUAGAGAUCGUGAGCUUCAUCCAUCUUGAGAUCAACAGAGCUUUCUUGGAGAACCAUGCCGAGCAAUCAUCUGGAGAACUUCGUGUGGCUAAAAACCUCGCGAAAACGUUAGGGCCUGCUGGACUCGCGUUGCAUUACGCCAAUGUCAUUUUGCAGCUAGAAACUUUGGCAUUGGCAUCACCAGCGGUUCCUCAGAAUGCUCGGAAGGCGUUAUACCAAGCACUGCCUCCUCGGAUCAAACCAAUCCUGCAUACCCAACUGCGGCGGGGUUUUCCCCUCGGAGAAAAACAGACCAUGACGGUAGCAGAGGUGAGAGCUGAAAUGGACAGGGUAUUGCGAUGGCUUGUGCCAGCUGCGGAAUCCACGAGGUUUUACCUUGCGGAAUGGGCGAUGAAAGGGACGGAGUGUGUUGAUAUCGACGAAGCGAACUGGUUCGAACGAGACAGUCGUAUCAGCGUCGGUUCCAUGCUCGCUCAUGCAGACGCCAAAGUGAGCAAGGUAGAGACGCUGUACUACGCAAACAAGGAGACGACCGAAGGUUACAUAGCGGAGCUUGUUCUGGCUCUUCAUCUUCUUGUUUCGCUGCCUACGGACGAGAAAUAAGUCCAAGAUGAAGGUGCUGAUGAACAGUUGAGGUGAUAAGGCAGCCCCGGAUGCUUGAUUUUUCGGUCUUGCCCUCUUCAGAUGCGUCAAACAGUUGUAACGCCGAGGGAAAUGAGACGAUUCUUGUGAAGUUUCAGUUUUUAAGCAGGCUCUCGGUUGUCUCUGAGACUUACCCAAGAACUCUGUUCGCUCGGUCUUGUAUAUGUCGGCAACUAAAUGGUAACCUCACAUUUGUGCAGUUUGGUUCUCUGCAUCUGCCUACAUAUUUUGUUUUAGAUUUUUAGCACUCUUCUAUACACAAACUUUAUCUGUUACUCCCUCCGCCAUAAUAUAAGAAUGGGACGGAGGGAGUAUUUGUGAUCUGUUGUAUAAAAAAAAUACUAUGACAAGUAACCUUGGCGAGUAAACGUUGUCGUUUUUGCUCGGCCUGUUGAAAUUUAAUCUUUUAUGUGUUGG